GGUAAUACGUAAGGCGCGAGCGUUGUCCGGAAUUAUUGGGCGUAAAGAGCUUGUAGGCGGUUGGUCGCGUCUGCUGUGAAAGGCUGGGGCUUAACCCUGGUUUUGCAGUGGGUACGGGCUAACUAGAGUGCAGUAGGGGAGACUGGAAUUCCUGGUGUAGCGGUGGAAUGCGCAGAUAUCAGGAGGAACACCGAUGGCGAAGGCAGGUCUCUGGGCUGUAACUGACGCUGAGAAGCGAAAGCAUGGGGAGCGAACAGGAUUAGAUACCCUGGUAGUCCAUGCCGUAAACGUUGGGCACUAGGUGUGGGGGACAUGCCACGUUUUUCCGCGCCGUAGCUAACGCAUUAAGUGCCCCGCCUGGGGAGUACGGCCGCAAGGCUAAAACUCAAAGAAAUUGACGGGGGCCCGCACAAGCGGCGGAGCAUGCGGAUUUAAUUCCGAAUGCAACGCGAA
rnacentral:rRNA from 1 species